rnacentral:rRNA from 1 species
ACUAACGAGAGUUUGAUCCUGGCUCAGAAUCAACGCUGGCGGCGUGCCUCAGACAUGCAAGUCGAACGAUUAAACUUUCCUUCGGGAAAGAUAUAAAGUGGCGCACGGGUGAGUAACACGUAAGUAAUC